AUUGAGACCAUCCUGAGCAACAUGGUGAAACCCUAUCUCUACUAAAAGUACAAAAAAUUUGCCGGGCGUGGUGGUGCGUGCCUGUUGUCUCAGCUACUCAGGGGACUGAGGCAGGAGAAUUGCUUAAAACCGGAAAACGGAAGUUGCAGUGAGCUGGGAUCGCGCCACUGCAUUCCAGCCUGGUGACAGAGCCAGACUCUGUCUCAAAGAAAAACAAACAAACAAAAAAACAAUGACGAAACACAGUAAGUUCACAAAGAGAUGGGGUUUCACUAUGUUGACCAGGAUGGCCUCAAACUCCUGUCCUCAGGUGAUCCACCUGCCUUUGCCUCCUGAAGUGCUGGGAUUACAGGCACGACCCACAGCACCCAGCCAGGGACAUGAAUGGAGCUGGAAGAUGUUAUUCUCAGCAAAGUAACACAGGAGAAGAAAACCAAACACUGCAUGUUCUCACUUAUAAGUGGAACCUGAAUGAUGAGAACACAUGGACACGGGGAGGUGCGUAACACACACUGGGACCUGUCAGCGGGGC
rnacentral:lncRNA from 13 species